ACGGUUAUAAAUCAACACAUUGAUUUAUAAGCAUGGAAAUCUAAUUGAAGCAACGAAUUGCUGUGUGUGGUCUUUGCCCGUCUCCUACGAUGGGCUUUUUUAACU
rnacentral:other from 1 species